rnacentral:rRNA from 1 species
GACGAACGCUGGCGGCGUGCCUAAUACAUGCAAGUCGAACGAACUCUGGUAUUGAUUGGUGCUUGCAUCAUGAUUUACAUUUGAGUGAGUGGCGAACUGGUGAGUAACACGUGGGAAACCUGCCCAGAAGCGGGGGAUAACACCUGGAAACAGAUGCUAAUACCGCAUAACAACUUGGACCGCAUGGUCCGAGUUUGAAAGAUGGCUUCGGCUAUCACUUUUGGAUGGUCCCGCGGCGUAUUAGCUAGAUGGUGGGGUAACGGCUCACCAUGGCAAUGAUACGUAGCCGACCUGAGAGGGUAAUCGGCCACAUUGGGACUGAGACACGGCCCAAACUCCUACGGGAGGCAGCAGUAGGGAAUCUUCCACAAUGGACGAAAGUCUGAUGGAGCAACGCCGCGUGAGUGAAGAAGGGUUUCGGCUCGUAAAACUCUGUUGUUAAAGAAGAACAUAUCUGAGAGUAACUGUUCAGGUAUUGACGGUAUUUAACCAGAAAGCCACGGCUAACUACGUGCCAGCAGCCGCGGUAAUACGUAGGUGGCAAGCGUUGUCCGGAUUUAUUGGGCGUAAAGCGAGCGCAGGCGGUUUUUUAAGUCUGAUGUGAAAGCCUUCGGCUCAACCGAAGAAGUGCAUCGGAAACUGGGAAACUUGAGUGCAGAAGAGGACAGUGGAACUCCAUGUGUAGCGGUGAAAUGCGUAGAUAUAUGGAAGAACACCAGUGGCGAAGGCGGCUGUCUGGUCUGUAACUGACGCUGAGGCUCGAAGUAUGGGUAGCAAACAGGAUUAGAUACCCUGGUAGUCCAUACCGUAAACGAUGAAUGCUAAGUGUUGGAGGGUUUCCGCCCUUCAGUGCUGCAGCUAACGCAUUAAGCAUUCCGCCUGGGGAGUACGGCCGCAAGGCUGAAACUCAAAGGAAUUGACGGGGGCCCGCACAAGCGGUGGAGCAUGUGGUUUAAUUCGAAGCUACGCGAAGAACCUUACCAGGUCUUGACAUACUAUGCAAAUCUAAGAGAUUAGACGUUCCCUUCGGGGACAUGGAUACAGGUGGUGCAUGGUUGUCGUCAGCUCGUGUCGUGAGAUGUUGGGUUAAGUCCCGCAACGAGCGCAACCCUUAUUAUCAGUUGCCAGCAUUAAGUUGGGCACUCUGGUGAGACUGCCGGUGACAAACCGGAGGAAGGUGGGGAUGACGUCAAAUCAUCAUGCCCCUUAUGACCUGGGCUACACACGUGCUACAAUGGAUGGUACAACGAGUUGCGAACUCGCGAGAGUAAGCUAAUCUCUUAAAGCCAUUCUCAGUUCGGAUUGUAGGCUGCAACUCGCCUACAUGAAGUCGGAAUCGCUAGUAAUCGCGGAUCAGCAUGCCGCGGUGAAUACGUUCCCGGGCCUUGUACACACCGCCCGUCACACCAUGAGAGUUUGUAACACCCAAAGUCGGUGGGGUAACCUUUUAGGAACCAGCCGCCUAAGGUGGGACAGAUGAUUAGGGUG